rnacentral:misc_RNA from 1 species
GAUGAAGAACGUAGCGAAAUGCGAUAAGUAAUGUGAAUUGCAGAAUUCAGUGAAUCAUCGAAUCUUUGAACGCACAUUGCGCCCGUCAGUAUUCUGGCGGGCAUGCCUGUUCGAGCGUCAUUUCAACCAUCAAGCCCCAGGCUUGUGUUGGAGCCCUGCGGCUGCCGCAGCCUCCCAAAACCAGUGGCGGGCUCGCUAUCACACCGAGUGCAGUAGUUUACUCUUCGCUCAGGGCGUGUGGCGGGUGCUAGCCGUAAAACCCCCAACUUCUCAAGGUUGACCUCGGAUCAGGUAGGAAUACCCGCUGAACUUAAGCAUAUCAAUAAGCGGAGGA